GUGGGGAAUAUUGGACAAUGGGGGGAACCCUGAUCCAGCCAUGCCGCGUGUGUGAAGAAGGCCUUUUGGAUGUAAAGCACUUUAAGCGAGGAGGAGGCUACCGAGAUUAAUACUCUUGGAUAGUGGACGUUACUCGCAGAAUAAGCACCGGCUAACUCUGUGCCAGCAGCCGCGGUAAUACAGAGGGUGCAAGCGUUAAUCGGAUUUACUGGGCGUAAAGCGCGCGUAGGUGGCCAAUUAAGUCAAAUGUGAAAUCCCCGAGCUUAACUUGGGAAUUGCAUUCGAUACUGGUUGGCUAGAGUAUGGGAGAGGAUGGUAGAAUUCCAGGUGUAGCGGUGAAAUGCGUAGAGAUCUGGAGGAAUACCGAUGGCGAAGGCAGCCAUCUGGCCUAAUACUGACACUGAGGUGCGAAAGCAUGGGGAGCAAACAGGAUUAGAAACCCUUGUAGUCC
rnacentral:rRNA from 1 species